rnacentral:rRNA from 1 species
UAGAGUUUGAUCCUGGCUCAGGAUAAACGCUAGCGGCAGGCUUAACACAUGCAAGUCGAGGGGCAUCGGGAGGGAAGCUUGCUUUCCUUGCCGGCGACCGGCGCACGGGUGAGUAACACGUAUGCAACCUGCCCUCUUCAGGGGGACAACCUUCCGAAAGGGAGGCUAAUCCCGCGUAUAUCGGUUUCGGGCAUCCGAGAUCGAGGAAAGAUUCAUCGGAAGAGGAUGGGCAUGCGGCGCAUUAGCUUGACGGCGGGGUAACGGCCCACCGUGGCGACGAUGCGUAGGGGUUCUGAGAGGAAGGUCCCCCACACUGGUACUGAGACACGGACCAGACUCCUACGGGAGGCAGCAGUGAGGAAUAUUGGUCAAUGGGAGAGAUCCUGAACCAGCCAAGCCGCGUGAGGGAAGACGGCCCUAUGGGUUGUAAACCUCUUUUGUCGGAGAACAAAACCCGGGACGUGUCCCGGACUGCGUGUAUCCGAAGAAAAAGCAUCGGCUAACUCCGUGCCAGCAGCCGCGGUAAUACGGAGGAUGCGAGCGUUAUCCGGAUUUAUUGGGUUUAAAGGGUGCGUAGGCGGUCCGUUAAGUCAGCGGUAAAAUUGCGGGGCUCAACCCCGUCGAGCCGUUGAAACUGGCAGACUUGAGUUGGCGAGAAGUACGCGGAAUGCGCGGUGUAGCGGUGAAAUGCAUAGAUAUCGCGCAGAACUCCGAUUGCGAAGGCAGCGUACCGGCGCCAGACUGACGCUGAGGCACGAAAGCGUGGGGAUCGAACAGGAUUAGAUACCCU